rnacentral:rRNA from 1 species
CUGCUGCCUUCCGUAGGAGUCUGGGCCGUGUCUCAGUCCCAAUGUGGCCGGUCACUCUCUCAAGCCGGCUACUGAUCGUUGCUUUGGUAGGCCGUUACCCUGCCAACUGGCUAAUCAGACGCGGGGCCAUCGUAUGCCGAUAAAUCUUUUCACACCACGCCAUGCAGCAUUGUGUGCUUAUGCGGUAUUAGCAGUCAUUUCUGACUGUUGUCCCCCUGCAUACGGCAGGUU